rnacentral:rRNA from 1 species
CCGUUAAUCGGGCCCCGCCCUGGAAGAGGUUAUUCGCCCCACAUGGGGGAUUGAAACCCCGGCCCCAGAUCUCUUACCGGGAGGCAACCAGUAGGGAAUUCUUCCACAAUGGAACCCAAGUCUGAUGGAGCAACCCCCGCGUGAAUGAAGAAGGGUUUCGGCUCGUAAAGCUCUGUUGUUAAAGAAGAACGUGGGUAAGAGUAACUGUUUACCCAGUGACGGUAUUUAACCAGAAAGCCACGGCUAACUACGUGCCAGCAGCCGCGGUAAUACGUAGGUGGCAAGCGUUAUCCGGAUUUAUUGGGCGUAAAGCGAGCGCAGGCGGUCUUUUAAGUCUAAUGUGAAAGCCUUCGGCUCAACCGAAGAAGUGCAUUGGAAACUGGGAGACUUGAGUGCAGAAGAGGACAGUGGAACUCCAUGUGUAGCGGUGAAAUGCGUAGAUAUAUGGAAGAACACCAGUGGCGAAGGCGGCUGUCUGGUCUGCAACUGACGCUGAGGCUCGAAAGCAUGGGUAGCGAACAGGAUUAGAUACCCUGGUAGUCCAUGCCGUAAACGAUGAUUACUAAGUGUUGGAGGGUUUCCGCCCUUCAGUGCUGCAGCUAACGCAUUAAGUAAUCCGCCUGGGGAGUACGACCGCAAGGUUGAAACUCAAAAGAAUUGACGGGGGCCCGCACAAGCGGUGGAGCAUGUGGUUUAAUUCGAAGCUACGCGAAGAACCUUACCAGGUCUUGACAUCUUCUGACAGUCUAAGAGAUUAGAGGUUCCCUUCGGGGACAGAAUGACAGGUGGUGCAUGGUUGUCGUCAGCUCGUGUCGUGAGAUGUUGGGUUAAGUCCCGCAACGAGCGCAACCCUUAUUACUAGUUGCCAGCAUUAAGUUGGGCACUCUAGUGAGACUGCCGGUGACAAACCGGAGGAAGGUGGGGACGACGUCAAAUCAUCAUGCCCCUUAUGACCUGGGCUACACACGUGCUACAAUGGAUGGUACAACGAGUCGCGAGACCGCGAGGUUAAGCUAAUCUCUUAAAACCAUUCUCAGUUCGGACUGUAGGCUGCAACUCGCCUACACGAAGUCGGAAUCGCUAGUAAUCGCGGAUCAGCAUGCCGCGGUGAAUACGUUCCCGGGCCUUGUACACACCGCCCGUCACACCAUGAGAGUUUGUAACACCCAAAGCCGGUGGGGUAACCUUUUAGGAGCUAGCCGUCUAAGUGACAGAGAUGAAAUU